rnacentral:tRNA from 1 species
GGAUUGUGGCUCAGCGGUAGAGCGCUCACCUAGCACAUGUGAGGUCCUUGGUUCGAUCCUCAGCACCA